GAUGAAGAACGCAGCGAAAUGCGAUAAGUAAUGUGAAUUGCAGAAUUCAGUGAACCAUCGAAUCUUUGAACGCACAUUGCGCCCGGUAGUAAUCUGCCGGGCAUGCCUGUCCGAGCGUCAUUUCUCCCCUCGAGCGCGGCUUCACGGCCUGUCGCACGGUGUUGGGGCGCUACGGAGGGAGCCCAGCGCUCCCCCCCGUAGGCCCCGAAAUGUAGUGGCGGUCCGCCGCGGCGCCCCCUGCGUAGUAGUCUUACAACUCGCAUCGGGACCCGGCGGAGGCCAGCCGUCAAACCCCCAACUUCAAUAGUUUGACCUCGGAUCAGGUAGGGUUACCCGCUGAACUUAAGCAUAUCAAUAAGCGGAGGA
rnacentral:misc_RNA from 1 species